AGGUCGCGCCAGUGCACUCCAGCCAAGACGACAGAACAAGACCCUGUCCAAAAAAAAAGACUUGCUAGGCAGAAGGGGGCAAGUGACUUUGAGGCUCUUGUGUUUUGAGUGAUGUCACAGAGACAGGCGGGUCACUAGAAUUGAUCGUGGAUAGUGAAUGAAGCAAAAUGUCCCAAAGCAAUGGGACUAGUGGGGUGGGGACAAGAGCACAUCUAGGAUAUGUUAAGGAGCAAUAGAUGUCUAACUGGGCAAAGAAGAACAAGGACCCUGGCUUCAGAAAAGCUGAGGAUUUAGGACUCCGUGCCAGGAGUUUGCACCCUCGGGACCUUGGCUGAGUAGAGAAACAGGUGAAGAGGAAGGCCGCCAAAUGGAAGAGAUGGGAAAACACAUCGGGACAGCAAAGAGAGGGAGACAGGGGGGUCUCCCAGCCAGGAGCCCUAGAAGCAGCCGGGCUGCCGCAUGUUUCCACCUGCAAGCGAGGUUCCAGCCAGCUGUCCGGGCUGGGCUGCCACAACAAGCGGAAGGGAAGAGCGCCACUCACCUGGGAUCGCGAUGUUUCUCACCCUCCUCAAGUGUGCAUUGCCAGCUAGGCAUUGCUAAGCUAAUUUACGUGUUGUAGCUCUGGAGGCUCAAGGUGAGAAAGGGGAGCCAGCCGGCUGCAAAUGGGAAUCCUGCCUUCCACCCGAGACAGGCUGGACUGGCCUCAAGCUCCCUCUGUUCCCAUGUACUCAAGGCCAGACCAAUUACUAUUUGUAGAAGGUCACACCCCAGGUCUUCUGAUCCCAAACCCUUUCUCCCAGGCACCUGUUCAUCAGCCCCUAGAGUCACCCAGAUUGUCUGGGUUCUGUCCUUGGUGACAGCGAUUAAACUUGUAACACUGAGUGCUCCGUAGCAUACUGUGGGGGAGAGGAGUGA
rnacentral:lncRNA from 1 species